CAAUGGCAAGGUUUUUGCUUGCCAUAUUUCAAGAAGCAAUUGAUUAAGAGUCAAAAGAACAGUGAAUCACAUGUGCUUAUGGGAGAUUUACAAUGAUAUGGACAUGUUCGAAAGAUGUUUAUCAAAGAAAGAACUGAAGAUGAUAGCAAAGAACCUUAAGAGGAACAUAAUUCCGUAUUUGAGGGCAGGAGCUUCUCAUGCCAUCUCUUCCUCAGAGGAUAUGAAGAUAUAUCUGAAGUCUCUCGAUUAUGGGCCCGUCAUGUCAUCUAAUAUGAUGGAUGAUAUCGAAACCCCCACACUCCGCUAUAAUUAUGUACGGUUCUGAGAGGAGAGCUGGCGAUGGGGGCGAUGAAGCAAGAAGGAGGAGUAAGAGGAUAAGGUUGAGUGAGCAGGUGCACUGGGAAGGCAAGGAAAAAGGGAGCUUGAAAAAAGUGCAGCUGGUGCAAAAAGUUACCAGGCGCCAGGCGGCAAGAGAGUCAAGUGAUGGAGGGAAGAAGAAAGGCAAGAAACAAAAGCAAAGAGGGGGUUCGGUUUCUCAUAACCUAUCCUCGCCCAAUCCGGCGCAAAAAUUGGGGAAUUCGUGCUGAAGUUUUUCGUCCCUGUCCGCGGCAUCAAAAAUCAUAGUCCCGAACUAGUUUAACUUAAAGAAAUAUAACAUUAACAAUAGUUUAGGAAGACAAAAUGUAAUCAAGCGAAUUUUAUUUAACAGUUCCCACUAAUGAAACUAGAACCACUACGAUUACAUUCAUAUCAAAUUUUAAUAUCAUAAGAGUAUAAAGAAGAGUAUUUAAGGUGGUUUAUCUGCAAGACAACUUUUGUUCUGUCCAUUAAACGACACUUUUGCAACCACUCGUUUUAUUACACUGGAAGAAAUUCAUAGUAUGAUUGAUUAACUUAUGAUUGAGACUGAAAACGCCCAAAAAUAUCGUGUUCAAAAUAUUGAUUUUCCUGACGACUAGACUUGUUACGAACGAAAGAGGCAACAAACAAAUGCUAACCCCCUUAAAGACAGCGUUACAAGCACAUUUCUCCUCAACACAAGAUGUUUCCAAACACAUUUCACAAUGGUAAUUCAAGACACAGAAGUGGACACAUUCGUUACAAUCGGCUUUGAAUUCUAAAGUGAAGAGAUAUAAAAAUGCUAUACUGAACAUUAAUUAGAGAAAUGCACAUGCAGGGAAUACCAGCGUAGAGGGGGGGGGGCUAUAGCAUUUGCAGAAACAGUUCGAGCACUCUUUCUGCACAGUAGUGAUCAAUUAAUGACACCGAAAAGACUUAAGUAUAAGAAUAAAUAAAAUAUUACAUUGGUAUUGG